AUUGAACGCUGGCGGAAUGCUUUACACAUGCAAGUCGAACGGCAGCACGGACUUCGGUCUGGUGGCGAGUGGCGAACGGGUGGGUAAUGUAUCGGAACGUGCCCAGUCGUGGGGGAUAACGUAGCGAAAGCUACGCCAAUACCGCAUACGAUCUAAGGAUGAAAGCGGGGGAUCGCAAGACCUCGAGCGAUUGGAGCGGCCGAUGGCAGAUUAGGUAGUUGGUAGGGUAAAGGCCUACCAAGCCGACGAUCUGUAGCUGGUCUGAGAGGAUGAUCAGCCACACUGGGACUGAGACACGGCCCAGACUCCUACGGGAGGCAGCAGUGGGGAAUUUUGGACAAUGGACGCAAGUCUGAUCCAGCCAUUCCGCGUGCAGGAUGAAGGCCCUCGGGUUGUAAACUGCUUUUGUACAGAACAAAAAGGCUCUGGUUAAUACCUAGGGCUCAUGACGGUACUGUAAGAAUAAGCACCGGCUAACUACGUGCCAGCCGCCGCAGUAA
rnacentral:rRNA from 1 species